rnacentral:rRNA from 1 species
UACCGAGGGUGCAAGCGUUAAUCGGAAUUACUGGGCGUAAAGCGUGCGUAGACGGUUAUGUAAGUCGGGUGUGAAAGCCCCGGGCUCAACCUGGGAAUUGCAUUCGAGACUGUGUAGCUAGGGUACGGAAGAGGGAAGCGGAAUUUCAGGUGUAGCGGUGAAAUGCGUAGAUAUCUGAAGGAACACCAGUGGCGAAAGCGGCUUCCUGGUCCAGUACCGACGUUCAGGCACGAAAGCGUGGGGAGCAAACAGG